rnacentral:rRNA from 1 species
CCUACGGGUGGCAGCAGUCGAGAAUCAUUCACAAUGGGGGAAACCCUGAUGGUGCGACGCCGCGUGGGGGAAUGAAGGUCUUCGGAUUGUAAACCCUUGUCAUGUGGGAGCAAAUUAAAAAGAUAGUAACACAAGAGGAAGAGACGGCUAACUCUGUCCCAGAAGCCGCGGUAAUACAGAGGUCGCAAGCGUUGUUCGGAAUCACUGGGCGUAAGGCGUGCGUAGGCUGUUUCGUAAGUCGGGUGUGAAAGGCGCGGGCUCAACCCGCGGACGGCACAUGAUACUGCGAGACUAGAGUAAUGGAGGGGGAACCGGAAUUCUCGGUGUAGCAGUGAAAUGCGUAGAUAUCGAGAGGAACACUCGUGGCGAAGGCGGGUUCCUGGACAUUAACUGACGCUGAGGCACGAAGGCCAGGGGAGCGAAAGGGAUUAGAUACCCGAGUAGUC